rnacentral:misc_RNA from 1 species
GCUCUCCUACAAGUUCCUUUCUCGCAUCGAUUUCUCCGGUGAAGAUUGGCCACGGAACAGGGAAAAUUUUUGAACCUUUCGCUUUCCCUCCUCGUUCGUUUCCAGCCUCGGCCUGGCCCUGGCCGUCCGUCCUGCUCUGCUCACACCUGUUUCUUGCCGUCCGCGUCCUCGUCUUGUCCGCCGCCCCCGCGGCUGUCAGUGCCGGCCUGCUCCUUCCCCUCAUUGGGGCUCUCCAGCGCCCGCUUCUCCUCCUCCUCCUCCUCCUCCUCCUCCUCCUCCUCGUUCUCGCCGCCGCCGGCCGCCUUCCCCGCCGCGGCCGGGCCGGAGGCGCUGCCCCGGCGCCGCUUCUCGGCGCGGGCCUUGAGGGCGUCCAGGAGCUCCCGCAUUGCCUCCGCCUUGCCGCUCCUGCGGUUCUUGAUCAGCACCUCGCUCACGUCCGCCGGCGUGAUCUCCGCGGCGUCCACCCACUCCUCGAGCCCGCGCAGGACCGCCGGGUCGCUGAGGCGGUCCAGCUCCUCGUCGCCCUGGAAGCCGAGGUAGUUCCUCAGGAGGAUCUUCAGCGCCUGGAACGAGCAGUAGGACAUGAAGACGUGCAUGUCCAUGCGGCCGGACCGGAGCAGCGCAGGGUCCAGCUUCUCGAUGUGGUUGGUGGUGAACACGAAGAUGCGCUCCGCGCCGCAGCACGACCAGAGCCCGUCCGUGAAGUUGAGCAGGCCGGAGAGCGUGAUGGACCGCCCCGCGCCGGCGCCCCCGUCCUGCUCGAUCGCGCCGUCGAUGCUCGCCCGCGGCUUCGGCCUCGGCGGCGCGCCCGCGCGGUUCGUGAGGUCCACGGAGCAGUCGAUGUCCUCGAUCACGAUGAUGGACUUGGACGUCGUCUUCAUCAGCAGCUUCCGGAGCUCCGCGUUGCUGCUCACCUCGGUCAGCUCCAGGUCGUACACGUCGUAGCCGAGGAAGUUGGCCAUGGCCGCGAUCAUGCUCGAUUUGCCGGUGCCGGGCGGGCCGUACAGGAGGUACCCGCGCUUCCAGGCGCGCCCCGUGCGCUCGUAGAACGCGCUCCCCUCGGCGAAGUCCCGGAGGUCGGCCAUGAUGGCCGCCUUCCGCGCCGGGUCCAUAGCCAGCGUGUCGAACGUGCUCGGGUGCUUGAACGGCACGGGGUCCCACGGCACGCCGCGCGCGUCCAUGCUCCCGCCCCGCGCGUUCGUGUAAAGCAUCCGGUCCUGGCUGCGGCGCCGGAUGUCGACAGCCGCGGCGAUGAUGUGGUCGAGGUACGCCGGGAGCAGCUUGUCCCUGUCGCCGCGCCGGAUGCGGAGCGUGAACCGGCGCUUCUCCUCGGGGAGCGGCCGCCACGAGAAGCCCUGGCCCUGGCGCGGCGCGACCACGUGCUCCCACGUGACGGCCGCCCCCGCGAAGGUGUCGACGACGCGGUCGCUGGCAGCGAGCCCGAAAGUGAAGGAGGAGGCGUUGAGCCGGCGCGACAGGCUGAGGCGCGCCCCCGACGCCGGGGCCGCGGUGCUGCUGAGGUAGAGCUGCACGGCGUCGUAGAUCUCGUUGGUGCUCAUGCCCUCCAUCUCCGUCACGUCGAAGUAGCAGUAGGGGGAGAAAGCCCGCGUGAGCCUGCCCAGCAGCCGCACCACCACCGCCCGUAGCUCCGCCGGGAAUACCGCGUGCACCACCCCCUGUAGGAACGCAAACGCGCCCAUCAGCGACGCCAGCGCCGUCCAGUACUCCUUCAUCUUCCCCCUGCUUCUCCCUCUCCGCCUCCCCCGCUCGGUUCUUCCUGCGACGCUCGCCCUUCCCUGGAAUUGGAUGGGACGCAGAUGCGGCAACGAGGAGAGGCUGGACCUUGGAGGCUUUCUACAUGGGGAGGCGACGCAUUUAUUAUAUAGGAGAAGCGGCAGAAUGGAGAAGGAUUUGGAGGAGGGCGAUUACAAUGAAGAAAGAUGAACACUGGUGACAGUAAUUGGCCAGGACCAGCUAGGCAGGAAGCCUGCAGGCAAGGUCGCUGUCAAUGGAGCUCAGACUCGCUCAGUGAUAGGUGGUCAGACGGAUCUUGGAGAGAGAGACGGAGCGGCAGCAGGAGCCAGGACCCCAGGACCCAGGCCAGGAGGAGGAGGAGAUGGUAUAGAGAAGCAAGCAAGGCGACAGGAACAGCGUACCCAUACCAAGAGAGAUCUCCCGCUCAGAGGGGCCUGCGAGGGAGAUUUGCGAUCGUGCAGUGUGUCAUCAUCGAUAGAAUUCUUGCAUGGCAUGCUGCAGCCAAACUGCCAAUCGUUCUGGCUGAUGGAUAUUUUACCUUGGGCUAUGGUUAGAGACCGACAGUAUGGCCUUUGGACCUUACCCGCUGUUUGUUAAUAAAGUUUUUGAAAACCACAAUUUUUCAAAUACUAGAAUAUAUUUUAGUCGUAACAAUAUUAUAGUUAAAAUACUAGAAUUUUGAAAACUGGGUCCAAACCUAAGGUUAAAAUACUUUUAAAACAACUACAGUAUUGUUUUGAAAAUAUAGAUUUUAGCUAGCUUCCUAAACAUCUUUCUGUAUAUAAUAUUGCAGUAUUUAAGAAUAUUGCGGUAUUUUUUCAAACAGUGGAAAACUUCAAUCCUAAACACCCCUUUAUGUUGCAUUCUGCAUUGUUUGACUGUGGCAGCAGCGUAAGGGAAGGAGUGGACGGAG